GUUAUUAGUUGCUGUAUUGGGCUUACAUGGCAAGGUUUUGGUAAAAAGGGGCUGCAUGGAGGGCUUCUCUGAGCAGAGCUCUGUGCUGCCCCAUAUCCGAGCAGAACCGCUCCAGCUGCUACAAGAGGGACCCGUCGCUGCUGGAGCUGAGAUAUAAGGGAAGCCGGGUCCUCUGGAUAGCGGAGUUCCGGAAGCAAUCUUUGGGACAAAAGGAGCGUUGGAAAGAAGUAAACGACCCUCCCAAGGACUAACAACGGACCAACAGCGGACCAUCACAAUGCUAGAAGGAUAGCCAAAUAUGACUAUGUUUGUUGGGCAAUCAUUGGAAGUGAGUUGGUUAAUGAAUUUGGGAAUGUAAUGAAUAUGUAAUACAUGUGAAAAUAUAAUCUGUUCAUGAACAAUCAACUGGUGGAGCAUUCUUGGAGAGUUAUCUUGAUGCUACCCCAGUGCAGCCAAUAAAGAAUACCUUGCUUAACG
rnacentral:lncRNA from 1 species